UGCUGGUUCCCCUGGUAACUGACGAGCCAGCAUGACGUCAGUUCCCCUAAAAAGGCAGCCUCCUUCUCCCCGCCCAGGAGUGAAGAUGGCGGCUGUGUUCUGUUCUCUGGCCACUGCACACAAGGGGCUGGUGCUCCAAGACUUUGCUUCACACAUGUAAGUUCCCCUGGACAGCAAACCGUUGAUGCUCUGUUGCUGUAUGCAGGUUCUUUUUUCUGUCUCAAGGCUGAGCUACUACAAGGCUCAGCAUGGGGUUUUGGAAGGAGACAUCAACCCAGAAACCUCAGUUAGGAUCCCAGCUCCUCUCAAAAUCCCCCACUUGGCCAGUUUGUUCGUCUGCAACGAAGAUAUGUCCUACUCUUUACCUUGCACUUCUCCAUGAUAACCACUGAUUGGCCCCAUUUUACGCAGAAUUGACACAGAGGCUCAGAAAGAUGAAGUGACUUGCCCAAGGUGUUACAGCAAGUUGGGAUUCAGUCCAAUGCCUGAGUCCCCCAAUGCCAUGCUUUCUGUCCCACAGUGGGAGCCCUGGGCACAAUUUGACUGCUUUUUCACUUUUGGGAAGUGAAGUCCCAGCGCACAGCCCACCCAGGGGCAUCUGUGAUGCACACCAUCUCCCUUUGUGCCCUGGUUCUGCAUGCCUCCCACUGUGAGAACCCUGAGAAACAGGCAGAUGAGCAACCAUGGAUCCAGAUCCUUUGGAGUCACUUCCUGGCAGAUGCCACAUCUAAGGACAUCCCAUGCCCUGCCAAGGGCUGUUUGGAUAUUCCAGCAGACCUGGAUCAGGGGAAGCAGCUCAGCUUGGAAACAGAAUUGUCCACAGAUAGAUAGAAAUAGAACCUGUGAGCUGAAAACUAUGACUGAUGCUCUGUUCCCUGGCCUGGCCCAGGGCUUCCUUCUGAUGAAGUCAGCACUGCUGUGA
rnacentral:lncRNA from 1 species